CACACACGGGGGCGGCAGCUUUCCUGCCAUCCGGUGUCUUUAUGUACCUGUCAUGCCGCAUUUAUUGCGGCAUCUUUAGCCAGACCCCGCAACCAGUGCGGGGUGACAAUAUGAAAAGACUCUCCUCCGUGGCGGAUUAACCGGUAAAAGGAUUGUAG
rnacentral:sRNA from 1 species